rnacentral:rRNA from 1 species
UGGGGAAUUUUGGACAAUGGGGGAAACCCUGAUCCAGCCAUCCCGCGUGUGCGAUGAAGGCCUUCGGGUUGUAAAGCACUUUUGGCAGGAAAGAAACGUCAUGGGUUAAUACCCCGUGAAACUGACGGUACCUGCAGAAUAAGCACCGGCUAACUACGUUCCAGCAGCCGCGGUAAUACGUAGGGUGCAAGCGUUAAUCGGAAUUACUGGGCGUAAAGCGUGCGCAUGCGGUUCGGAAAGAAAAGUGUGAAAUCCCAGAGCUCAACUUUAGAACUACAUUUUUAACUACCGGGCUAGGGUGUGUCAGAGGGAGGUGGAAUUCCGCGUGUAGCAGUGAAAUGCGUAGAUAUGCGGAGGAACACCGAUGACAAAGGCAGCCUACUGGGAUAACACUGACACUCAUGCACAAAAGCGUGGGGAGCAAACAGG